rnacentral:rRNA from 1 species
GCGGUGAAAUGCGUAGAUAUCAGGAGGAACACCGGUGGCGAAGGCGGGUCUCUGGGCAAUAACUGACGCUGAGGAGCGAAAGCGUGGGGAGCGAACAGGAUUAGAUACCCUGGUAGUCCACGCCGUAAACGUUGGGCGCUAGGUGUGGGGCUCAUUCCACGAGUUCCGUGCCGCAGCUAACGCAUUAAGCGCCCCGCCUGGGGAGUACGGCCGCAAGGCUAAAACUCAAAUGAAUUGACGG